rnacentral:lncRNA from 1 species
CUUUCUUUCAAAGCAAGAAGUUGUAGAAUGGCUUUCAGGUCUUCCUCUCUGCAGCCCUUAGAGGAGCUUCUAGUCAUGCUUGUCCCUGUCUCCUAUGGAUUCCUUCCUCUUAUUUUGCUUGUCUUUGUCUCAGAAGGAGAGAGGGCAAUGGAGUGGAGGAAGGCAUUGCUGUGGUAUGUGGAGAAAUGGAUCGUCAUAAACUCUUGUAUGACAUGGAUGUGAUUAUGCAGAAGAGAACAUAUUUAUCUUGCUGAGCAUUUCUCCCUUAGGGGGAUUAUCAAACUACUUGGAAAGCACUGUAGAGUAAAAUCAUCAGUAAGAGGAGGUACAAAGAGAAAAUUUGAGAGGUAAGUCAAUCAGGGAGUAUUUGUUGUUCCUCUGUGUCAC